rnacentral:rRNA from 1 species
GACGAACGCUGGCGGCGUGCCUAACACAUGCAAGUCGAGCGAUGAAGUUUCUUCGGAAACGGAUUAGCGGCGGACGGGUGAGUAACACGUGGGCAACCUGCCUUAUAGAGGGGAAUAACCUUCCGAAAGGAAGAUUAAUACCGCAUAAGAUUGUAGCUUCGCAUGAAGUAGCAAUUAAAGGAGCAAUCCGCUAUAAGAUGGGCCCGCGGCGCAUUAGCUAGUUGGUGAGGUAACGGCUCACCAAGGCGACGAUGCGUAGCCGACCUGAGAGGGUGAUCGGCCACAUUGGGACUGAGACACGGCCCAGACUCCUACGGGAGGCAGCAGUGGGGAAUAUUGCACAAUGGGGGAAACCCUGAUGCAGCAACGCCGCGUGAGUGAUGACGGCCUUCGGGUUGUAAAGCUCUGUCUUUGGGGACGAUAAUGACGGUACCCAAGGAGGAAGCCACGGCUAACUACGUGCCAGCAGCCGCCGUAAGAC